AGUAUCUAAGUGUUGUAUCAUAUGCUCCUGGAUAUGGAAAUGAAUAAUAUUUUCUCCUGACCAAGGUCUCUGAAAAAUGAAAUAAUCGAGAAUUGACAGGUGAAUAUUUAAGUGUUUAUCCUAUUGCUGUGACCUCUGCAAUUGGUGAUCCCUGAGCAGAGUCUUGUGUUCUUCCAUUCCAUGAGCACUGCAGGAUAACUGUGAGUUGUGAUGUGGCAAUGAGAUGAUGUAAAGCCUCAUCCUUGCCAAAGUUCCUCUGGAACAGGCACCAGGAGGCAGCUCCCUUGCUCCCCUGACACCACCUUGCAUUUUACCUGCACUGAUGAACCCUGUUCAUAUCAGCAGUAGUUCAUGAGCCACUUCAUCCCCUCCUUGGAUGGCAGAAGCUUACACACUCAUGGUGUGUGCACAACAUUUCCCAAAGUCCAGUUUGUGAGUCUGAGGGCUAGAAAUACAACUUUGAUUUACAACAAAGGGCCAUUGUGGUGGAGGGAGCAGUGUGUCCUUGGGGACGGCAGGGACAGCCAGGGAUGCCAUGGGACACUGUCCUGGUGCCACGAGAGAGGCAGGGACAGCAGCACAGGGCCCUGCAGCAGGAUUGUGUCACUGCAGGACCCUUUGGACUGCCUGCUUUAUUCUUGGAAUUUCCAGAUCUUUCCCUUGGAAGCAGCUUGUCAUGGUCAUAAUACAAAAGGUGCUUGACAGAGCACGGGUCUCAAGUAAGAAAAACAAAUUGAUUGUUUGUGCCAUCUCAUGCAUAGAUAGGACACAUUCUAACCAGAACAUAAAGAGGAUUCUGUGAAGGAUCAAGAGAUCCUGUACAUUUUCCUUCCAUAAGCAGCUUCAGGAAUGUGGGAAAGAAGGGGAGCUGCAGGCCAGGCAGUCUCACCUCAGGACCCAGCAAGAUGGAGCAGAUCUGCACUACAGCAGAUGCAAAGAGAUCCUCUCUCCUUGUCCCUUUAUAAAGAGGAAUUAGAAUCAAAGAGUGGAUUUAUGAGGAAAGAACCCCUCCAAUUAAUUGGGAUUUUUGCUACAGAAUGGAAAACAAACAUUUUGCACCAACAGAAUUUACUAUUUGUGGGUUUCAGUUUGGAUUCAGCAUCCCAUCACAUUGCCAUGCUCCCAGCAAGAGUCUGGCAAAAAGCAAAGACACAAUCCCCAAGAAUUCACUGGGAGUCUUCCUUGGAAGCAGACUCAAAGAGUGGUCAAAUAGAUCACUGCAACCAAACCCAGAAUCCUGAAUUCUGGGCACACAAACCUCUACAGGACAGGAGCUUGGAUACAAAGGAUCUACUUGGUUCCACUUGGGCAGGGUCAAAAGGAGUCCUGAGAGUUUCCAAACCUCUUGGACACCUUUGAAGAGUCAUCAAUAAAUGGAAUAGCAAGAUCUGAUUCAUACUGCCCAUUGGAAGUUUCAAAAGGCUUUGGCAA